rnacentral:rRNA from 1 species
UACGGAGGGUGCGAGCGUUGUCCGGAAUCACUGGGCGUAAAGGGCGCGUAGGCGGCGCCACAAGUCACUUGUGAAAACUCUGGGCUCAACUCAGAGCCUGCAAGCGAAACUGUGGUGCUGGAGUAUGGGAGAGGUGCGUGGAAUUCCCGGUGUAGCGGUGAAAUGCGCAGAUAUCGGGAAGAACACCCGUGGCGAAGGCGGCUCUCUGGAACGGUACUGACGCUGAGACGCGAAAGCGUGGAGAGCGAACAGG